CAGCAGCCGCGGGAAAACGGAGGGGGCUAGCGUUGUUCGGAAUUACUGGGCGUAAAGCGCACGUAGGCGGACUUUUAAGUCAGGGGUGAAAUCCCGGGGCUCAACCUCGGAACUGCCUUUGAUACUGGAAGUCUUGAGUGUGGAAGAGGUAAGUGGAAUUGCGAGUGUAGAGGUGAAAUUUGUAGAUAUUCGCAGGAACACCAGUGGCGAAGGCGGCCUACUGGUCCACAACUGACGCUGAGGUGCGAAAGCGUGGGGAGCAAACAGGAUUAGAUACCCCAGUAGUCCCUGUCUCUUAUAC
rnacentral:rRNA from 1 species